rnacentral:rRNA from 1 species
ACGAACGCUGGCGGCUGCUUAACACAUGCAAGUCGAACGGAGUGGCGAACGGGUGAGUAACGCGUGAGCAACCUGCCUAUGACAGUGGGAUAGCCUCGGUAAACCGGGAUUAAUACCGCAUAGUCAUAGAUGGGCUCGCGUCUGAUUCGACAGUUGGUGAGUUAACCGCCUACCAAGGAGACGAUCAGUAGCCGGUAUGAGAGGAUGAACGGCAACAUUGGAACUGAGACACGGUCCAAACGUCAACGGGAGGAAGCAGUGGGGAAUAUUGCACAAGGGGGGAAACCCUGAUGCAGCGACGCAGCGUGAACGAAGAAGGUAUUCGUAGCGUAAAGUUCUGUCCUAUGGGAAGCAGUACCAUAGAAGAAAGCUCCGGCUAAAUACGUGCCAGCAGCCGCGGUAAUAC